AGUGAACGCUGGCGGUAGGCCUAACACAUGCAAGUCGAACGGCAGCACAGAGGAGCUUGCUCCUUGGGUGGCGAGUGGCGGACGGGUGAGGAAUACAUCGGAAUCUACUCUGUCGUGGGGGAUAACGUAGGGGAACUUACGCUAAUACCGCAUACGACCUACGGGUGAAAGCAGGGGAUCUACGGACCUUGCGCGAUUGAAUGAGCCGAUGUCGGAUUAGCUAGUUGGCGGGGUAAAGGCCCACCAAGGCGACGAUCCGUAGCUGGUCUGAGAGGAUGAUCAGCCCCACUGGAACUGAGACACGGUCCAGACUCCUACGGGAGGCAGCAGUGGGGAAUAUUGGACAAUGGGCGCAAGCCUGAUCCAGCCAUACCGCGUGGGUGAAGAAGGCCUUCGGGUUGUAAAGCCCUUUUGUUGGGAAAGAAAUCCAUCUGGUUAAUACCCGGGUGGGAUGACGGUACCCAAAGAAUAAGCACCGGCUAACUUCGUGCCAGCAGCCGCCGUAA
rnacentral:rRNA from 1 species